rnacentral:lncRNA from 1 species
UCAUGAUUUCUUUACUAGCAAAAAUAAAAAGCUUGAAUAAAUAUCUAGUUAUCAUUAAUGUUUCUUGGAUCCAUAAAGAUCACAAUCCAUAUGAAUCAAAUACCCAUAGAAGUUGAAGAGGCAAUAGAAUAUUCUAACUUAAUUUAAUUCUGCUUACAAUUAUUUACCAUUUGGCAAAAAGAAAAACAGAGAAAAGAGAAGAAAAAAAAAAAGUAAACAAUAAAAAAUACAAAAGAAAAGGGAAAAUGAUAUCCUAGCUAGAAUCCUCUCUCUAACUACACAUCUUACUUACUUUUUAAAAAUUAAGCAUCCUUAAUUCCUCCAAAUAAAUAAAAAACAAACAGAAAUAAUGGACAAGAAAAUACAGAAUUUAUGACCCCGUCACGCGCAUGGGCAAUUCAUGUUGUAUGCCUUGAAACUCGGUUUCGCCUGAAGAAAACAGGAAGCUUUGGAUGAGGAUGAAGAAGAAGAUGAGAGAGGUGGGAUCUCGGGACCUUCGACCACCGCCACCUCCUCUUCGACAAUGGUGUCGAGGGAAGAAACGGAAUUUCGCCUCCAAGGGCGGUUAUAUCGAGGGGGCACCACCUCCUCUAUACAAGAGAAUUUAGGGGAGCCCAUGAGGGUGGGAGACUCAGGCUUUGGGCCUUGAGAUUCAAGAGCUUGAGCCAUUGUUUCUAGAGAGAGAAUCACAAUAGCUCUAAGGAAGGAGGCCCAGGCUCUAGAGAGAGAACGGGACGAGGUAAUGAAGAAUUCACAAGAGGGGCCUUAUAUAUAGGAACUUUCUCUCUCCUCUCUCUCUCUCUCUCCUUGAGGAGCGGAUGCCUAUUGGGCAGUGGUCAUGGGUCCCUCGCUUUUUCUCUCUUAAUUAAGGAGGAGAGAGAGACUCUGUCUCUCUUAUGUUGAGGAGAGAGAAUCUAUUUCUCUCUCUAAAUUUGGGGGGGAGGCAGCUGUGUAGGAGCAAAAUGGUCGGCCGGGAAUUGCU